AUUGAUCGCUGGCGGCAGGUCUAACACAUGCAAGUCGAACGGUAACAGUAAGCGUCUUGCUGCUUUGCUGACGAGUGGCGGACGGGUGUGAAAUGUCUGGGAAACUGCCUGAUUGAUGGGGAUAACUACUGGAAACGGUAGCUAAUACCGCAUAACGUCGCAAGCCCAAAGAGGGGGACCUUCUUGCCUCUUUCCAUCGCAUGUGCCCAGAUGGGGAUAGCUAGGAGGUGGGGUAACGGCUCACCUAAGCGACGAUCCCUAGCUCGUCUGUGAGGAUGACCAGUCAGACUGGAACCGAGACACGCUCCCGACCCCUCCGCGAGUCAGCAGUCGGGAAUAUUGCACACAGGGCGCAAGCCUCAUGAAGCCAUGCAGCGUGUAUGAAGAAGGCCCUCGGGUUGUAAAGCACUUUCAGCGGGGAGGAAGGGAGUAACGGUAAACCCCGUACUCAUUGACGUUACAUGGAGAAGAAGCCCCGGCUAACCGCGUG
rnacentral:rRNA from 1 species